ACAUCUUUUCUACUUAACCCAAACGACGUCCUCUUCAAUUCAUUUGCACCAGUUAAGUUCGGUUGGCUUCUCUUCCUUUCCUUCUUCCUCCCCGUUGGCUCUUCCCAUGACAACCCUCACCCUCACCUUGAUAUUAUCCCCAAGAUCUAAAGAGAGGGAACUAUGAUAGUCUGUAUCUUCCCAAGUCACGCUAUUAGGAUAGAGUCUGCCAAAUGAAUAAACCAUUGUUCUGCUAAAGAAUUCUUCUUUGUUACUAUCCGGAUAUUUAACAUGGACAAUAAUUUGUGCUCAGGUUGCUAUUCAUAACUCUCCUCCAGUCACUGUGAAAGGUUCUCCUUUAACUAUUGGUUUAGUUUGUAUCUUUGCAUCUCCACUACUAGCUUCUCUAUUUCUAUCUUCUGAAUAAAAGAGCAUAUAUAGGGUCUGAUUUUAAAUGCAUGUGCUCGUUCCUUCAAGGGAAUGUGAUGAUCAUGUGAUCUAAUCGUUCCUCCUUGAUAUGAUACAAUUGUCCCCACUAUCACAUAAGGCUCCUUACCAAACAUUUUCUCCACCUUUCUCAUCUCCAUUAAUUCGACAAAAUCUUUAGAAACUUCACUCCUCAAUUUUAUCACUUCAUUAUUGCCUUGGCACUGGACACAUCCUUAUAGGAAAUCAAAGGUAAUUGGACCAAACUGACUCAUCCAAUCUACACCUAACAUCAUGUCACUCCCUGCUAAUUCAAAGGUCCUGAGUUUGAAUUGUAACUCCUAGUCUUGCACCCUCCAUACCACAGCUUGGCAUAAUGUUGUACUUUCUAAUUUAUCACCAUUGGUUGCUCUCACUGUUACUUUACUGGUUCCAUCAAUAGCAUAUUUCAAUACUUUGGCUAAUUCCUCAUCCACAAAACUGUCUGUGCUUCCACUGUCAAUCAGUAUGGAUACUCCUCUUCCCUCUAAUAGUUUUAUUUUUCCACUCUCCAGUCAAUGCAUUGAUUGAAAUUUCCAUGAUUUCUUCACCUCCUGAUUCGAAUUCUCCAUCUCCCUUUAGUUCAUUUUCCUCAUCUUCAUCUACCAAUAUAAAGUUCAAGGACAUAUUCUUGCACACAUGGCCUAUGGUGUACUUCUCAUCACAUUUGUAACAGAGUCCCAAGUUCGUUUUGGUUUGAAAGUCAGUAGGGGUGAUGGUUUUGUAGUUAUUUGUUGGUUUACUGGUUUUUUGCCAUGGUUUUUUAUUUUUGGUUUCUUCAGGAAAAUUGGGAGAAUAGGGAUUCCGUUUGUUUGGUGAGAAACUCCUAAGUUUUUGGAAUUUGUGGAUGGCUUGAAUGGUGGAUUCCUACAGGCUAGCUAUCUCAAAUGCCUUAGCCAGCGUACUUAGUUUCAUCAUUAUAACCAUUGAUCUAAUUUCUCCUAUUAAACCACUAGUAAAUACAGCAAUAUAAUAAGAUUCUGGAACAUGGGGUAAUGCUAUCAUUACCUGUGAUCUCAACCCCUCAAAUUUCACUUGAUAUUCCUCUAUGGAACUCAAUUGUUUGAUUUUGCUAAAACUCUCUACCACAUCUUUACCUGUGGCUUCUGCAAAUCUCCUGUGGAUUUCUUCAGAGAAUAGGUUCUAAUCUGCCCUGGGAUGUCUUGCAAUGAACCCAUCAAACCAGAUAUCAGCCUUACCCUUCAAUUACAUCUCCGCAAUUCCUAACCAAAGUUCAUUAGGAUUCUGAUGCAUCUGAAAAUACUUCCUAGCCUUCCUAAGCCACUCCCUAGGCCCUUCUCCCCCUCCCCUCCCCCCCCAAAUGAGGGAAAUCAAUCUUAGGCAGCCUAGUGUUCCCCUUCAUUCUGGUGAUAAGACUAGCCUCAUUACUACUUGCUCCUGGUGUAGAAGUCACAUUUUCGGGUCUCAAGUCAGCUAUAGAUUCAGCUAUUCCCUUGUUCUUCUGUUUCGUUUUCAAGUCAGUGGAGAUUUGAGCCAUAAAAGCAACUGCCGUCUCAUAUUUUUGGUUCAAUUUUAGCUUAGCAUCUUCUAUUAUCUCUUGCCUACUACCCAGUACUUGAAAAGUUUGGUCUGUGGACUCAAGUUUAUUCUCUAGAUUGCUAGUAACAGCUUUGAAACCUGUCCCCAAAUCUUCCAUCUCCAAAUCUAGCUUCUUCGGGUACUUUUCCACAACCUUAGAUCUGAUACCACUUGUCACGGUUGGAAUCCCAGUUGCAGCUUGUCCUCUACCAUAACUCGUAAUGAACCCUAGUCAGCUGAAGGUAGCUAAAUUUUAACCAAAGAAAAGAAGAAAAAUAGAAAGGGGAGAGGAAAAUGAUGUAAAAUGAACAAGAAAUGAGGAAGAAAAGCUGUUGAACGAUUUCAACAAUUUUACUAAAAAUUAGAUUACACAGACCCUUUUCACGAUGCAUCUAUGGCUGUAUCUAUAGCCACAAAAUAGAAAAAGUCGUGUUUUCCAAAAGCAAUAGAGGAAACUUGUUUUAACAAAACUUAAUACAAUUCAAUUAAGACAAAACGGCACCGUUUCUACUUAACCCAAACAACAUCAUCUUCAAUUCAUUUAUACCAAUUAAGUUUGGUUGGCUCCUCUUCAUUUCCUUCUUCCUCCCCGUUGGCUCUUCCCAUGACAUUCUUGAACAAAGAAAAGUAAUGGUAGAUUACUUAUCUUAAUGACCAAAACAUAGUAUAACAGAACCAAUUUAGUGACAGCAGAUUAAAAGGGAGUGAGAAGAUUAUACUAAAGUCUAAAAUGGCGAAAUUGUGGAAAGAAUGGAGCAGUGUAAGAAUGCUAGAAUUGAACCAAUACUUCCAAAUAAUACAAAGGAACCCAACAAGUCACAAUGACUUAGCAGAACUUGUCAGUGAGUCAAGAAAUCAAUAGGAAUCGGAGUGAGUCAAUUCAACUUACUAGAAUCCAGUAUGAGUUACAAGUACAACCACGGCUCAGUAGUGAUUCAAGAUCUAAGGAGAGUCAAAGGUACAUAAGAGGAAAAACAAAUUAAACCUCAUGAACAGUAGAGUAUUGAACAAGAUAGAUCUAACCCAAAAGACACAAAAAUCUUAAAAGGAUCCAACCAAAAGUUGAAUUGAAAGCUAAUCAAACAAAUACCUUUUUCAGAAAACCAAUUUAUUUUCACAAAAUCUUCUCAAAAUCUCCAGAUCUGCAUCAAGCAAUUGAUUUUUAAAAACUUGGGUUUUCAGAGGGAAAAAAAAAAAACCAUAACCCAUGAUUUUAGAGAAAAGUGCACUGAUAUCAUUUGUUGGUCCCAAAUCAAUUUUUACAACCCAGUUUAAAUAAAAAAAUGUUUACGAGAAAAUAAAUCGUAGAACUUAAAAUAACAAGAAUAGGAAGAAUUAUUUUUACCCUUAACGGAUGUUCAGCCUUCGACAUAACAACCACAUCGAACAUCUAUAAGUAGAUAUUGCUCUAGAUCCACUAAAAUCAACAAAAGAAUAGGUGACAUGUAUUAGGAAAUCAAAUUUCUCUCGUCUUCCUACUAUGACAACAGAAUAUACUUCUCACAAUCUCUUAGAUUGCACACUAAAUUCAUUCAAGAACAUCUCACCAAAAGAUUACAGGGACUAAAUAUGAAGAAGAAGAAAAGUAUAUAACUCAAAAAGAAACCCUAAAAAAUCACUCAGAAUAUCAACCAACAAUCAAAGAUAGAGAUGUAUGAGGCUAAGUAUCAACGCUAAGAGUC
rnacentral:lncRNA from 1 species